rnacentral:misc_RNA from 1 species
GAUGAAGAACGUAGCGAAAUGCGAUAAGUAAUGUGAAUUGCAGAAUUCAGUGAAUCAUCGAAUCUUUGAACGCACAUUGCGCCCGCUAGUAUUCUGGCGGGCAUGCCUGUUCGAGCGUCAUUUCAACCAUCAAGCCCUGCUUGUGUUGGGGUCCUGCGGCUGCCCGCAGGCCCUGAAAACCAGUGGCGGGCUCGCUAGUCACACCGAGCGCGGUAGCACAUCUCGCUCAGGGCGUGCGGCGGGUUCUUGCCGUAAAACACCCCCUUUUUACCAAGGUUGACCUCGGAUCAGGUAGGAAUACCCGCUGAACUUAAGCAUAUCAAUAAGCGGAGGA